rnacentral:rRNA from 1 species
GGGUCAGUAGGUUGGUCGUGCCACCGGUACGUACUGGUCUCACUGAUUCCUCCUUCCUGAAGAACCGUAAUGCCAUUAAUUUGGUGUUGCGGGGAAACAGGACUGUUACUUUGAAAAAAUUAGAGCGUAUAAAGCAAGCUAACGCUUGAAUACAUUAGCAUGGAAUAAUGAAAUAGGACGAUCGAUCCUAUUUUGUUGGUUUCUAGGAUUGACGUA